GUACUCACUUUGGCAGUACAUAUAAUAAAAUUGGAACGAUACAAAGAAGAUUAGUAUGGCCCCUGUGUAAGGAUAACACUCAAAUUCGUGAAACAUUCCAUAUUUUU